UACGGGGGGAGCAAGCGUUGUUCGGAUUUACUGGGCGUAAAGGGCGCGUAGGCGGUCAGCACAAGUCAGCUGUGAAAUCUCCGGGCUUAACUCGGAAAGGUCAACUGAUACUGUGCGACUAGAGUGCAGAAGGGGCAACUGGAAUUCUCGGUGUAGCGGUGAAAUGCGUAGAUAUCGAGAGGAACACCUGCGGCGAAGGCGGGUUGCUGGGCUGACACUGACGCUGAUGCGCGAAAGCCAGGGGAGCGAACGGG
rnacentral:rRNA from 1 species